UACGAAGGGGGGCUAGCGUUGCUCGGAAUCACUGGGCGUAAAGCGCACGUAGGUGGGUCGUUAAGUCAGGGGUGAAAUCCUGGAGCUCAACUCCAGAACUGCCUUUGAUACUGGCGAUCUUCGAGUUCGGGAGAGGUGAGUGGAACUGCGAGUGUAGAGGUGAAAUUCGUAGAUAUUCGCAAGAACACCAGUGGCGAAGGCGGCUCACUGGCCCGAUACUGACACUGAGGUGCGAAAGCGUGGGGAGCAAAGCAGG
rnacentral:rRNA from 1 species